GCUCGCCGCCAGAGGUCUCCUGCGCAGCCGCACCGCCCGCCAUAUUGUGUUUGCCACUUGUUGUUUUCACAGCUCGCGCGCCGUUUCGCCGUGUUUUGUGCCAGUUUUCUACCAGUUAAUACCAACCAGCAAUGAUGAACGGCGAUAACGACGAUGUUGGAGGCUACCUGAACCCUGGAACAAAGGUAAGACGGCGUGGGUUGGAUGUAGCCGUCCGUCACGGGGCCUCACUUGCCUGACUGUGCCAUCCAUCCGUCCAUCGCUGGUGACGUGUGUGAUAGUCUGUUGUUGCUCGCUGGUCUUGGUGUGAUCGAGUAGUGUUCUCUGCCGGAAGAGAAGUCGUUUGCGAGUCGUUCGUUUUGCGUCUUUUUUUUUUCUUGGAGUGGUGUGAGUUUUGUGUGUGAGAAGGUUGAAUCGAGUGCUCAUGCCGGUUGCGGGCCAGAACUAGCCCCCGUCCAGCCGCUGCCCAUUUCGCAAAGAAAGAGUUGCCGCUGGGAUGAAGAGGCCUGUGUCUGAAGUGUAUUGUGCCUCCCCGUAUUUGGCUGUACCUCAGCUGCAGGCUGUUCAGGCAGCAGUUCCACACCCGCAGGCAGCUGCUGUGCCGUACACACUGCACCAAAGCUUACAGCCUGCAUUCACGACGGCUUUUACUCACGCCCUUGCACCUGUAUCCGUCAGUCCGGCACUCACACACUUCAGCCCCAUGAUGCAUUUCAUGGACCAGGUAGGCCUACCCUUGUCCGGUACCGCCGGAAGUAUUGUAUAAUCUUGGAUGUUACUGUGUUUGUGAGAAUCCAAUAGGCGUCAAUGCUGCACUGCAGGUCUAGUUCAUUAUUAGCCUGUGCGUGUGUGGAUAUGAAUAGGCCUUCAUGAGUAAGUGUACAUAAUUAGCUAAAUGUGGAAUUUUGUUUGUAUACAU